rnacentral:rRNA from 1 species
UACACCUACGGGGGGCAGCAGUGGGGAAUAUUGCACAAUGGGGGGGAACCCUGAUGCAGCGACGCCGCGUGGGUGAAGGAGUAUUUCGGUAUGUAAAGCCCUAUCAGCAGGGAAGAACAAUGACGGUACCUGACUAAGAAGCACCGGCUAAAUACGUGCCAGCAGCCGCGGUAAUACGUAUGGUGCAAGCGUUAUCCGGAUUUACUGGGGGUAAAGGGAGCGAAGGCGGCGCGUUAAGCCUGGUGUGAAAGCCCGCGGCCAAACCGCGGGACUGCAUUGGGAACGGG